UACGGAGGGGGCUAGCGUUGUUCGGAAUUACUGGGCGUAAAGCGCACGUAGGCGGCUUUGUAAGUUAGAGGUGAAAGCCCGGGGCUCAACUCCGGAAUUGCCUUUAAGACUGCAUCGCUAGAAUUGUGGAGAGGUAAGUGGAAUUCGAGUGUAGAGGUGAAAUUCGUAGAUAUUCGGAAGAACACCAGUGGCGAAGGCGACUUACUGGACACAUAUUGACGCUGAGGUGCGAAAGCGUGGGGGAGCAAACAGG
rnacentral:rRNA from 1 species